AAAAAGCUUAAAUAACGUAUAUCCCAUUUAAAUGGGGAAACCCAUUUUCUUCGCUUCAUCUUUCUUUUUUUUUUUUGUGAUCUCUCUAUACAAAUUGGGAAUUUCAAAAAGCUUAAACCUAACCCGAUAAAUAUGUUCCGCAUUUUUGUUGGAUUUGGAUACAGAGAGAGAAUAUGAGACAUUUAAAUGUGAAAUUAGUCCAUAGCUAGGGGACAGUCAAAUCUGAAGGUGAUUUUUCCGGUCUUUUGUUCUCAUUUUUUUUCGCAUCGCAUCUGAAGACGGCGAUAUCUACGCAAGGUAUUUCGGGAUAACAACUAAUUGUGGAAUCCCAAAUGCAUAUGCCUCUGUUUUACGGAUCUUUGUAUGGAAAAUAUAUUGUUGAUACAAAAAUUACCGAUUCCGUAUAUAUAUAUAUAUAUAUAUAUAUAUAUAUAUAUAUAUAUAGUAACUGAAUUAUUUUGUAAUUACUUACUAUUUAGGGUUUAUUUUUUCAUACAAAAAAUUACUGCAUUCCAUAUAUAUAUAUACACACACAUAUAAGUGUGUGUGUGUAUCGCAUUUGAUGCCAUUUGACAGACAAUCCUCUUGUAAAGUUUUUUCUAAGAAGAAAUAUAAUGGCAUUUGGCUAUAUUUGCAAUAUAUCGAGUAACAAGAUGAAUUGAAAUUUGAAGGUACGAAUAGUGAGAUUGUGGCACAUUCCAGAACACGACAAACCGGAUAACACCGUCUCCCUUGAAUUAUUUAUUCAAGACGAAAAGGUGCAUUCUUUUUUAGUUGCACUUAUUUUUUCAUACAAGUUUGACUACAAUCUCCAUCAUCUGCUUUGUACUAUAAAAUUCAUUACGUUAAACAUGUAUUUAAUCAACUUCAAUUUAGAUUAGUAUUUACCAUCAAAUAUGUUGUAUGCGUUAUUUUGGAAAGGCAAGCAUGCACAUAUUAUGUUUUACCCAUUGAUGCUUCGUUUUUAAUAUACUCUGCGACCACACUGUACAACUGAGUAUUUGUCUAACUCAAUAUUAAUUAUGAAUUUUUUGAUUUUAGGGCGAUCGCAUUCAUGCGACUGUUGAUCGAUCACUUAUAUGUAUGUUCAAACCAAAGUUAAAAGAAUUAGGUUUGUACGUUAUGAAGAACUUUGUGGUUGGACCAAAUUAUACGAAUCUUGAAUACACACGACAUAAAUUAAAGUUGGCAUUUACUCAUAAGACAAUUCUAGUGGAAGCAAAUGAUCAUCUUUUUUGUAUAACUAUCUUCGACUUAAAAUCUUAUGAGUAUUUGAUAAACAAAAUUAAUGUUGAAGAAAGUGAACUCUUUGGUAAGUAUUCAAUUCGCAGUGUUUUUAUUUGAAUGUCUUACAAACUUUCUCUUGGCUAUUUUUUUAAAUUAUUAUAAAUGUCAUUGGAGAUGUUGUAAGUUAUAGUGAGAUAGAAUCUCAUAACCAAGGUGAUAAAAUCAGCAAUUAUAUGCAUGUGGAACUUGAAAAUCAUGAGUAAGACUACGUCUAUGGAUUUACUUUGUUAUAUAUUUUAACAUCAUUACAUAUCAUUGUCUGAUUAAAUUGUUAUAUAUUAACAUGAUUAUGGUCGUUGUCUAAUUAAGUUGUUAUAGAAAUUACACAGGAGGAAUAAUAUCUCGGCAACAUUUUGGGAAGAAUUCACUGACCAAAUCUUGUGUCAUUUACAGGGAUCACCCCAUCAACGGGUCAUAAUUGUUAUGAAGUUGAUAAAAGCUCACAAAUUUAAAGGUAUUUUUAUUGUAUUGAUGUUAUUGGAUAUUUUUUUUAUGUUAAGUUUCUGGUUCAGAAACUAAAGUUAUAUAUAGGCAAAUAUUCUAUGUGCAAUAACUGGCAUGCCUUAAAGCUCUGGAUUAACCCGGAUCUUCCUCAAGCUAUUGAUUUUAAGUCGAGGUUAGUUACUUCACGUGACGAACCGACCUGUCGCCUCAUGUGUUACUACUCUAUUUCCCCCAUGUUAGGCUUCUUCAUAUAUUUUUAUCGAUAUAUGGUAUGUUAGAGUUGGUUUGGACUGGUUUUGAUAAGAAAUGAGACACUUAGUCUCUUUAAGCAAGACUUAAGUAGGAAAAGCCAAUCGGACGUUGAAUAGUGAGUUAUAGGGUUCGAAUGUGAUUUCCAAUGAUUUGGUUAGCUUCGAGGAAUGAUUUGUGACUUAGUAGAGUGAUCGUAAUUGAAUUUGGAGGUCUGUUGUAGAAUUAGACUUGAAUUGGCGAAGUUCGUAUUUUGGCGAAUUCCAGUUGAUAGGUGAGAUUUUGAUCUGAGGGUCGGAAUGGAAUUACGAGAGUUGCUGUAGCUUCAAUAUAUGAUUUGUGAUGUGUGUGAAAAUUUUCAGGCCAUUCGGAGGUAUUUAGGUUGGAUUUUUGAUUGAAUGUGCAAUUCGGAAGUUUUUAAGAAACUUAGGCCUUGAUUUGAGGAUAUUUGAGGAUUUUGAUGUUAGCGAUAGUAUUGAAGGUUCGGACAAGUUUGAAUAAGUUAUUAGAUCAUGUCCGCACUUUUGGUUGAGGUCCCGGGGGCCUCGGGGUAAGAUCGGGUGUUAAAACGAGAAGCUUUUGAAGUUGGUUUCAGGUUUGUUUUGGUGUUAGCUGGUAUUUCCGCUUCUGCGGAAAUGGAUCGCAUAAGUUGUUCCGAAGAAGCGAGUGAAGAAGCAGAGAUGCAAGUUUGGAAGGAGUUGAGGAGUUCCGCAAAAGCGGAACAUGGUAGUGUUAGCGGGUCCGCAUGAGCGAAUAUCGACCGCAGAAGCGGACUCAGAGAUCCGCAGAAGCGGACUCAGGGAUCCGCAGAAGCGCAUUUCUGUGUCGCAGAAGCGGUCGUGGGAAAUUAAGUGAAGAACUGCAUAAGCAGAUUUUUGGCCGCAGAAGCGAUAGCGGGACCGCAAAAGCGAAAAGGACUGUUGGCAGAAGGGUUUAAAGGUUUUAUUUCCUUAUCGAGCUAGGCAUUAUUUUCCUCCAAUGUUGAGCAACCUUGGGAGCUUUUGACGAUAUUGUAAGACAGAUUUGACUGAAAAUAAAAUGGAGGUAAGCUCCUUGGCCUAAUUAUUCAAGUUUAUGGUAGAAUAAACAUGGAAAUUGGUUGAAAUUCAUUAAAAAUGGGUAAAGCUAGGGCUUGAGUUUUAAUAUUUCAAAUUGGAAUUUGAUAGGCAAUUUGAGCUCAUAUUUGGUAAUUCUUGGUAUGUAUGAACUCGUGGCGAGACGAGGAAUCCGGUAAUGUAAGUUUUGUAAUUUUUUGAGAAGCUGUUCCGGGGCUAGGGUUUUGCUAGUCUCGAGAUUUUUGAUAUAUCUUGAUUGUUUUUGAUUGGGUAUUAUUCCCUUGGCAUAGUGUGAUGCGUUCGCUCUGAUUUUGGUUAGAUUCGAUGCACGUGGAGGCCGAUUUGAGGGGCAAAGGUGUCGUGGGCUAGAGAUUUUGCCGGUUCGAGGUGAGAAAUACUUAUAAAUGAUAUCUUGAGGGGUUGAAACCUUGGAUUUGCACAUCAUAAUGCUGUAUCGAGGUGACUUGCACGCCGGAUAUGUGUGUGGGUAUAGCACUGUUGGGGAUUGAGACUCGGUCCGUUCCGAUUGAUGAAAUUACUACGUAUUUUACUGAAAACUACUUGAAUUAUUAUGAUUUAGUUUUUUUGCCAUUUGUAGGGCUUCGUGCCGAUCAUUUGAAUCCUUUGGGGAUUGAUAUCACUGUUUUUGCAUUACUCUGCAUAUUAUUUGAUCUCGAUCCAAAGUUUUAAAUACCAUUUUACAAACUCAGCCCUUUUUCUAAGAUUUGAAAACCUAAACGAUAUUUUACUGAUAUUUUUAGCCGAGAACUGUUAUGUUGAUAUUGCCCAAGUGGCUUAUGUGCAUUUCUGGACUGUGCAUGGAUUGGGUUGUACGCUGCAACAGUGUGAUAUUGAUAUUGCUCUUGGGCUGUAGGAGCCCCUCUGGUGUCUGAACCCCCACAGUGAGCGCGAGUACCUAAAUGGAUCGGGCUGAUCACCGCAGCAGUCAUGUGCAUUGCAUUGUAUUCAUGCAUUGGUUCCUGUUUGUACUACGUGGCAUGACAAUCAGCACUCACAUAUCAUUGGCAUCCAUGUUAUAUAUCUUGCACUGUGUACCAGAUACCCUGGUGUUAUUUGUUAAUAGAGUGUUGUGCCCGAUGGGCUGAUUUAUGUGCGGACUUGCACUACUUGAUAUCGCAAUCAUAUCCUUAACUGUUAAAAAGAAAAGAAAAAGAUAUUUUCAAAAGAGGUUUUAAACUGAGCCAGAUAUUUUUCUAAAGGAUUUUUCCCCGGACUUACUAUUUUCUAAAAGGGUUGUGCUGUCCCAUAUUGCAUGAUGGAGUGCUCUUACAUGAUUUCUUGCCGCUCAGUUAUUAUUUUCUCUUAUUACUUGCUGAGUUGGAGUACUCACUUUACUCCAUGCACCUCGCAUGCAGUUGCAGGUAUUGUUUACCCGGUAACGGGUUACUAGCUGACUGAUGGUAUGGAUAUUGAAGCUCUGCAAGGUGACCGCCAGCAUUUGCGGCACCGAGUUUCUUCCUCUUGAUUUCUAGAUAUUAUUCUAUGCAUUACAGACUUUGUAGUUGUAUUAAUAUUCCUUCUAGAUGCUCGUGACUUGUGACACCCUGAACGGGUUGUGUUGGGUGAUAAAUAUCAAUUAGUAGUGUUAAUAAGUUGUAUUAUUCAUCAGUUUAUGGUUAUUAAUUAUUAAAUAAGGCAUUGUUGUUCUAUUGGCUGGCCUUGUCUUUACGAGAGGCGCCAUCACGACCGGGUUUGGGAAUUGGGUCGUGACAAUUUGGUAUCAGAGCCUAGGUUACUAGUUCUCACGAGUCAUGAGCAGGUUAUUAGAGUAUCGUGAAUCGGUACAGAGGCGUCUGUAUUUAUCCUCGAGAGGCUACAGAACCUUUAGGAAAACUUCCCUUUCUUGGAAUUCUUAUCGUGCGUACUUGAUUCAGCUUGGGAUAUAUAACUCUUGAAAUUCCUCCCUCACGUCUGUAUGCGCGCAUGAGCGCUCAAUGUUAUGCGUACCUUGAUGGUUUGCGAUUCCCCGAUCAAGGGGCGAGAUGUGAUUUCUAUUAGUUGAUGUUGGGAUGGUGAUCAUGCUCAACUACGCCCUCUAAAAAGGACUCUGCGGACACUGUAAAUAUAACCCGAGUAUUAUGCCCAGGGUCAAUCCACAAAGAGUUAACCUAUCAAUCAAAAUCUUUAGACCCACUAAACUCUUUAGAACCAGUUUCCCAAACGUUUGAAUCACAUUUGAUGGUUUCUUUAGUAACUAAUAUUGCAAGUAAAUUAAACAUAUGUAAACUAAAAUUCUAAGGUUGUAAAUAAUGACGAGAAAAAUAUAAGGUGAAGAUUUCCUCUAUUGAUGGAAUCCCUUCUGUUUAUGCUUCAUACAAAUUUACCAACACAUCUCUUUCAAUCAUGAACACUCUUCUUACCGUAAAUCUCUCCAGAAUAAUCACAGUAAUAUACUAUUGCAUUCUUCCGAGAUACACUAGCUAG
rnacentral:lncRNA from 1 species